UACGUAGGUGGCAAGCGUUGUCCGGAAUUAUUGGGCGUAAAGCGUCCGCAGGUGGCACUUCAAGUCUGUCGUCAAAGACUGGGGCUUAACCCUGGAAAGGCGGUGGAAACUGAAGCGCUAGAGUGCGGUAGGGGUAGAGGGAAUUCCCGGUGUAGCGGUGAAAUGCGUAGAGAUCGGGAAGAACAUCGGUGGCGAAAGCGCUCUACUGGACCGCAACUGACACUCAGGGACGAAAGCUAGGGGAGCGAAUGGG
rnacentral:rRNA from 1 species